AUGAACGCUAGCGGUGCGCCUAACACAUGCAAGUCGAGCGCGUAGCAAUACGAGCGGCGAACGGGUGAGUAACACGUUGGAACCUGCCCCGAACUCAGGGAUACCCCUCGGAAACGAGGGCUAAUACCGGAUAGUCCCGAAAGGGUAAAGAUUUUUCGGUUCGGGAGGGGCCUGCGCAAUAUCAGCUAGUUGGUAAGGUAACGGCUUACCAAGGCUAUGACGUUUAGUUGGUCUGAGAGGAUGACCAGCCACAAUGGAACUGAGACGCGGUCCAUACUCCUACGGGAGGCAGCAGUGAGGAAUCUUCCGCAAUGGGCGAAAGCCUGACGGAGCGACACCGCGUGAAGGAUGAAGGCCUUUUGGUUGUAAACUUCUUUUCUGAGGGAAUAAAUGAUGAAUUUACCUCAGGAAUAAGCACCGGCUAACUACGU
rnacentral:rRNA from 1 species